rnacentral:rRNA from 1 species
GAUGAACGCUGGCGGCGUGCCUAAUACAUGCAAGUCGAGCGAACAGACGAGGAGCUUGCUCCUUUGACGUUAGCGGCGGACGGGUGAGUAACAUGUGGAUAACCCACCUAUAUGACUGGGAUAACUUCGGGAAACCGGAGCUAAUACCGGAUAAUAUAUUGAACCGCAUGGUUCAAUAGUGAAAGACGGCUUUGCUGUCACUUAUAGAUGGAUCCGCGCCGCAUUAGCUAGUUGGUAAGGUAACGGCUUACCAAGGCAACGAUGCGUAGCCGACCUGAGAGGGUGAUCGGCCACACUGGAACUGAGACACGGUCCAGACUCCUACGGGAGGCAGCAGUAGGGAAUCUUCCGCAAUGGGCGAAAGCCUGACGGAGCAACGCCGCGUGAGUGAUGAAGGCCUUCGGAUCGUAAAACUCUGUUAUUGGGGAAGAACAAAUGUGUAAGUAACUAUGCACGUCUUGACGGUACCUGAUCAAAAAGCCACGGCUAACUACGUG